AGCGAACGCUGGCGGCAGGCUUAACACAUGCAAGUCGAGCGGGCACUUUCGGGUGUCAGCGGCGGACGGGUGAGUAACGCGUGGGAACGUGCCCUCUGGUUCGGAAUAACUCAGGGAAACUUGAGCUAAUACCGGAUACGCCCUUUUGGGGAAAGGCUUGCUGCCGGAGGAUCGGCCCGCGUCUGAUUAGCUAGUUGGUGAGGUAACGGCUCACCAAGGCGACGAUCAGUAGCUGGUCUGAGAGGAUGAUCAGCCACACUGGGACUGAGACACGGCCCAGACUCCUACGUGAGGCAGCAGUGGGGAAUAUUGGACAAUGGGCGCAAGCCUGAUCCAGCCAUGCCGCGUGAGUGAUGAAGGCCUUAGGGUUGUAAAGCUCUUUUAUCCGGGACGAUAAUGACGGUACCGGAGGAAUAAGCCCCGGCUAACUUCGUG
rnacentral:rRNA from 1 species